AUUUUUUGAAUAAAAUUUCAGAAAACAUAUUUUCUUUGAUUGUAUCUUCUUUCUAUUUUUUAAAAAUUAUAAAAAAUAUCAAAGUUCGUGUUGACGAACCACCAAACGGACUCUCCCGGUAACUGCAGAAGAAACCUAUCUUUUUUUUUUGUCUUUUUUGCUAAUCAUGUCUGGAUCGAACAGAGCAUUCCCCUUUCGACAUACUCGCGACAUUCUCUCUCUCUCUCUCUCUCUCUCUCUCUCUCUGUGUGUGUGUGUGUGUGUGUGUGUGUAUAUAUGUGUAUGUAUGUACGUAUGUGUGUUUGUGUGUUUUGAAUAUGUAGGAAGUAUCGGCGAUAAGUUUAGUGGUUUGCACUCUCCAUGGCAUAACCGGCAAAUCGGAAAUCGAUAUCCGUGCAUAGCCAGCAUAAUAUAGCGUCUAUAUACCUACAUAGUUUCUUUCUCAAAGGUGUAUUUGCUCGAUAUGUAAUAUGUGUUCGUGUUCCUGUUGGCGCGCAUCGAGUGAAUUCUCCAGUAUUUUUCCAAGUUUUCGUGGAGAAAUUAUUUCUCUUCGUAUUUUGUGUAGGAUUACGUUCUAAUAUCGUACGCAUUUUUUAGUAUUCCUUUUUAUUUUUUCAAUCUCUUCAGAGAUACUGAUACCCAAGUAUAUGUUAAUUUUUUGUUGGAAAAUAUGUAUGUAAUUUCUUGUUGUAUGUUCCUAAUGUUAUCUACUAUAAUUUUUUUGUAUUUCUCUAAUUGUUAUUGAUUUAGAAUGAAUAUCGUAUAAGCAUCUAAAAAGUGGGAUCAAUUUCCUUUAAUUUUAAAAAUUAUCAGCUCUAAAAAGAUUAAUGUAAAUAGUUUAUACAACUAUAAUAAGUAUAUUAAGAAUGUUUACCGAUUAUAAACAUCGUUUUUUAAUGUUUAAGAAUAAACUUCCAAUGUUCUCAUUUUACUGAUUUUUAUUAACAAGUCAUUUUAGUUUUAUUUAUUAUAGUUUUAAAGUUGCAAGGAACUUUCAAAUAAAGAUAUUGUCGAGAAAAAAUAUAGCUAUGAUAAUAAGGCGAUAUAUAUAUCAAUCCAUAAUUAAUAUGGAUAAAUACAAUGUAGACAAGUGUGUCAUUUAUAUAUGUUAUGUUAUGAAUCUUAUAUGAAAAUAUGGAAUUAUUUGUUUUAAAUAAAUCGUGUUCUUUCGCAGAAUUUAAUAAAACUACACUAAAAAAGUAUAGAAAUAAUCGCUAUUGAUUUUUAUAAAACAAAUUUUUAAUUGAUAAAAAUGCAAUCUUAGAAUCGAUAAUCUCGAUCAACAUUAAUGAUCAAAAACAAAAAACUGAUAAAUUAUAUCGCUUUUUCUAAUUUCUUUUCAUUCGAACAAAUUCUACGCGAAUUCGAACAAAAUAUGUAGGACAUUCGAAAACCGACCGUUGCGUUAAAGCAGCGGCAUCAAGGAAUCAAAGUAUAGACAUUUCGACCUGGCUUUUGUUGUAUCUUAAUUGUGCGGUUUUUUUAAUUGCGAGUUUAAUAAUACCAAACGACUCUUCUUUUAUUCUUUGAUCUCUGAAUUCGCCUAUUCUCUUUGACAAAAUCUCUUUGUCUUUUUCUGCUUUUCUUUCUGUUUCUCUUCUUAUUUCUCUUUUGCGUACAUUUAUAUGCUCUGUGAGUAUAUUUCUUUGUCUGUAGUUUGUUUGUCUCUGAUCUUUCUCUCUCUCUUAUCUUUUCUUUCAUAAAUAAGAAAGAUCUUCAGCGAAGGCAAUUCGUCUUAUUAUAUCUCUUCUCAAGCGAUUUAGAAACGAGGAAAGAAAAUUUAAUCAAGUGAAGAAUAUUUAUUCAAUCUAACUAUAAUAUAUAAAUUAAUAAUUCUAGUUUGUCAAGAGAAAAAGAGCGACGCAAAUCAUUAAUUAUAGAAAUCGUAUCAAUCUUUGAUUAAUUUAUUUUUAGCUUUGGAAAUAAUUAACUCUCUUUGCGUUAGAACUAUCGACCUAUUUCUACUGUACUUAUCGAUUUUAACAAGUACUUAAAAAAAAAAAGAAAAAGAACAAAUUUCUUUAAUUUGUUUAAUUUAUGUAAUAUAUACUAAUUUAUUUAAAUUGUACGAUAAAAAUAAAUAAACAAAAAUAACUUUUAGUGAAGAUUUUUAUAACAAUUAUGAUUUCAUUAAUACUAAGCUCCGUAAUUAGAACAAGCUAAUUAAUUAAUAAAUGGUGAAAGUUAAUUUUGUGAUACUCAAUUGUGAACUCCAUUCGAUUGAUGUAAACUCACAAUCGUCGUCACAGCUGCAAGGAACGUAGAGUCACCGUCAGGUGCGUUAGUAGAAGACUUGCUUUUAAAGUGGGAUGAGGUUGGGUGAAGGGUGGUUGGAGGAUAGGAAGCACAAAGGUGGCGUCGGCGUCGGUGUCGUGACGCUUGCGGAGAGAAAAGAGGGAGUCAGUCACUGUUCGACCUCAACGCGUUGUGCAUAACCUCUCGCUUGGAUUUCUAAACAAUAAUCGUAUCGAUCGGUUUAUAUACAUCAUUUUUUAUAUUCGAAAUUUUUCCUUUAAUUAUACAUUCGAAGAAAGAAGAAUGACUGGAAAUUGGAAUGUUCGUCGUACGUGUUAGUAAAUGAAAAAAAACGAAGUGAAAAAGAGGAGGACACUAAGAUUAACCUUCUUUCUUUCUCUAUCGCUUACUCUUUCUCUUUCCCUCUCUUUUUUUUUCUUUUAAAUUGUCAAAUCAAAAACUGGGAUAACGGAAGAAAAACAUCUGCAAGUUCGUUUCUAUUUUUCUUUUUUUUUUUUUUGGAUUCAUUAUUGAGCACAACAAAGUUUUAGGAAACAUUUUUUAAAUAUUUUAUUUAUAUACUUAUAUAAUUGAAACAGUGUUAUUCAAAGAAAGUUUAUUAUUUUUAUCCUUAAGAAGAAGGAAGGAAUGCAUGAAUGAAAAGUUCAAAACAGAGAUAGUUAAAUAGAUAGAAAAUAAAAUGAAAUAAAGAAAGACAAAAAAUUGACGUGUGUGUAUAAGUGUAGAAAAAACGAGAGGAAGGUACGGGUGCGUGCUUGCGUAGGUGUCAACCUGGACAACGAUCCCAACGCGCAGCUAAAUUAGGCCAACUGAUUCCUUCGCUUCUCUCUCUCUCUCUCUCCCUCUAUCUCUCUCUCUCUCUCUCUCUCUCUUUCUCUCUCUCUUUCUCUCUCUCUGCGCAAACAAAAGCAAUUCGAUUCUUUUUUUAACUAUAUUCAGCGAAGUGAAAUAAACGAUCAAAAAUAAAAAAUAUAUAUAAAAAUAAGUGAAUGAUGUAUUUCGAAAACGAAAGAUCGAAGAGGGAAAAGACGAAAGGAGGAAAAAACUAGAAGAAUGAUCUAUGCAACGAAGUGCCUUGACCGAGCGGCAUGCAUCGACCCGGGUAUCCGCGUGACCCGACGACCCGUUAUGCCAGCGCGUAGCUCCUGCUGAGAUAUGAAUAGCAUGAGAGACAUAAUAGAAUUAUGUCAAUUAUUUUGUAAUACAGAUCUUUAUAUUAAUCCAUGAAAUAUUGACAUGAACAAUAAAUUUACCGGUGUUUCGAUAAUAUAUAAAAAGGAACUAUGAAACGAGAUUGUAAAGAAAAAAAAACAGAAAAACAGUGGUCGGUUAGUGUAUCUUUUCAAUGAAAAGGUUUCCUUUCGAUUCGCGUUAAAUAUCAUUGUUAAAUUUCAAACAAUAUCGAAAUUGAUAAUCGUGAGAAUCAAUCGUGAGAAUCGAUGAAAAGAAGAGGAUUAAACGUCACAAGAGAAAAGCACAUUGUUGUUAUUGUUGUUGUUACAUCUCGAAAAAUGGAAUAAGAGGACAAGUGAAAUUCAUUGAAUCUCAGUAAUUCUCGAAGAACGAAGACGACGAAGCGAAUGCUGCGGACGAAGAGAGUUACGCGAUUAAGAAGACGAGGACGACGACGACGAAGAGGAGGCACUCGUUGUAUCACAGAGAGUCACUGACCUCUCGACCGAUCACAGUCCAGAGUGUGUGAUGUUUGAUGCUGCAGUGGUGCUUUAUGCGGAGGCGACGAAAAGACAAAUAAGUAGAAAUAUCGAUGAAUGGUCAAACAAAGGGUUGUCAGGAUAUUAUGAAAAAGAGAAAGAGGGAGGGUGAGAGAGAGAGAGAGAGAGAGAGAGAGAGAGAGAAGAGAGGAGAGGAGAGAGAAAUUACGUCGUAGUCGUGUCGUCGUCUAUCAUCGACGUUCGUCAUUGAUCCUCGACCUUGUCGAAGGCUUUUGGGAAAUCGUCAAUUUCCCUCGUGAAGAGUACUUCGCGUCUCCUCGAUAAAGUAUUGAGGCGGGCUCGAAGUUGGCUCUUGAGUACGACAUCCUCCUCGAUAUCCGUGAAUGAUAUCGUUUAGUCUAAUAGAAUAUGUUUUAGGCCCAACUAGACUUAACGUCAAACCUAAACCCUUACCUUUUUGUACUUUAUUAAUAAUAUUUAAUAAUAUCUUUAUCUUCUAAAAGAAUAAAAUUUUUCUUCGGAUUUAAUUUAAAAUAAACAAGAGAAGGAUAUUUUAUGUUGAUCAUCUUUUUAAUAGUCUAUUAAUAAUAUUAAUAAUUAAAGUAAUAAUAAAGUAAUAAUAAAAAGUAAUAAAAAAGGGAGCAAAAUUUUAUUUUUGGAGUUAAUUAAAAGAGAAAAAGAGAGAGAGAGAGAGAGAGAAGGAUUAUCUAUAUAAUACUCUGUUAAUAGUAUUUAAUAGCAUUUUAACAACGAAUGAGAUUUUCUCUUCGAAUCCAAUUAAUAAAAGGAGUAUCGUCUAUUUAAUAUUUUAUUAAUACUAUUUAUUAUUUUAUAAUCAUAUAUUUAAUAUUGUAUUAUAAUACUGAUAAUGAUAACAGCAGUGAUAGCAAAACCAUUCCUCGCAAAGAACAACGAAUACUGCGGUCAUUUGCAGUAUUAAUACAGAAAAUAUAGCCGAAUCACCGAGAAUAAUAGUUGAAAAAUCUCUCGUUCCUAUAAAGCGUUAAUAUUAUAUAAUGUCAUUUUGAUAAAGAACAAAAUUUUGUUGUUAAUUUAAUCAACAAAAAGAAAAAUUUACGUUGUUCGUCCAUCUAAUAUCAUCAAAUAUCGAAAAAAGAAAAACAAGAAAAAGACAAAAUACUAAAGAAUGAUUUAAAUUAUUGAAGAUAUAGUGCCUCCCAUUUCUUUUUUAAUGAAACACAUUAUUUUUCUUUUCAUGGUAUCCCUACUGACUAAGACUUUCGAGACGGUCCUAGAUCAGUGGUAUUAAGAAGACUUUCAAGACAGUUUUAGAUCAGUAUUAAGAAGAAGGAAAGAGGAAAACGAUGUUGGGUCCUUUCAAAGUUUUCAGACCAACCUUUCAAUGUAUGAAUUAGCCUCGAGUAGUGACGAGAGAAGCACGGGUCGGAGCAUCAGAAAAAACGGAAGGAUCACAAUAAAAAAAAACUAGGAAGGUAAAAUUCAUGAAAGCAUCGAGGAUGCAAACCGAGAGCUAAUUCAUAAAGCAGAUCAUACGUCAGCUUUUGCGUGUAAAUUACGCUAGAUUAAUAAACGCUCUGUAAACAAAGUCUCAAUCGAAUGGUUAUGUUUUCGAAUGGAUAUGUGAAUUCAUAUGCCGCAAUAUCCUGCUUUUUUUUUCUAUCGCUAUUAACGUAUUUCAUUGAUCUCUCCUUAUUACAUAUUUGCUGUUAUACAUCCUCGCCACCCCUUGACCUAGUAUCACUAUUCAACGAUAUAGAACUUUGUCCUAACGCAACGUGACAAUCGCAAGCAGAAUAAAGAUCGAUUCACAUUUCAGUUCAAUCUCCGCUUUAUCUCUGUUCUGAUUGUUCAGUCACAGUGAUUUUAACAUUAUUAUUCAUACAGUUCAGUCUCAGUUCAGUCAGCGAUCCGUCAUAUUUUUUGUGUCUCAGAUCAUCCGAGAUCAUUGUUUUUUGACGAAAUUUUCAUAACGUUUUUGUCUACGGAUAAACGAGAUUUUUUACUGCUCCGUUCAUUCUCGCCUUUAAUGUUCUCUAAGUUCACAGAGUAGGAUUUUUGGACAUAACAGUUUCAUUUUAAUCUUUGGAAUUACUUCUUGCAUAUUGAAUCAUCUACAGCUUCGGCUGAAUAUACAGUAUAAAUUGUUUUACGAGUUUGUAAUGCGUUUUUGCAUUUUUUGGUAAUAAAAAAGCAGAUAUGAAGAAAAUGUUCUUUAUUUUCUGACAUGUUUAAAAUUUUACAAUAAUAAUACAUUUAAUUAAUCACAGUAAAAUUUUAUUAAAAUGACAGCUUUGUAAUAUAAAAAAUAGUAUUUGCGCGCAGAAAAUUGAUAAUGGUAGGAAAAAGCAAUUUCCCGUUAAUAAGCCGAAAAAAUGGGACGAAUAUAAUAUGUCACAAGUUAAUAAUUAAAGAUAGGGGAAAUAAUUGAAAAUCUGUUCUCUUUAUCUUGCCUCCUUUUUGCCGUACCAUAGACAAUAGACUCCAAGUUAUCAGAAUUAUGUGUCAUUUCAAAAAAUCUUCGUUGACGACAGUUUGGACGAUCUUGGACACAGAGAAAAUAUGACGAAAUCGGUAAUUGAAAAGAUUAAAUGGAAAUGUGUGAAUCUGUAUAUUUAAAUUACAUAUAACAAUAUAAAAAUUGCAGCUGAACAAUCGAAACGGAAACUGAAUUGAAAUGUAUAAAUUGAACUUUGUUAACUUACAAUCUUUUGUCUAUCGACAAAGAAAAUUUUGUAUCGUUUCGUCCCUCCAUUUUUUUUACGCUCUCGAUGUUCAUAGAGUAUGAUGUGUACGAUCAGACUGAUACUAUAUUGAGCUCAUAUGUUGGAAUAUAAAUAACUGAAACCGAAUUAUGACUUGAAGUGACUGGAGAUUGAAGUGAAAUGAAGGAGACUGAACUAAAAUGUUUGAAUCGACCUUAAUCUGGCAGUAAUUGAGAUCAAAAUUGUUGAAAUUGCUUCUCUUACGUGUUUUUCGCAAUUUCAUAAUGAUCUUUAUUUCAAUUUCUCUAUUUAGGAUCGUUUCCUCGGUCUUCCUAUUUUUGUUUAUUUCUUUUUGUUUAAGAAGAGUAAAAAUAAAUUGUAGGUAGAAAUAGAACUCAACAAAUCAGUGAGAGUGAAUUCGAUUUAUUUUGUUUUGAAUAUUUAUCAUUAUUCUUUUAAUAAACAUUGUUAUCAUUAGUAUUGUUAGAUAAAUACGUAUAUUCGACGUUUUCAUCA